UAAGCUCCGGCUCCACCAUUCACUAACCCAGUGUUUUUCAACCACUGUGCCACGGCACACUAGUGUGCCGUGACAUAGUGUAAGAUGUGCCGUGGGAAAAACACCCGCCGGGUGUUUUUGCCGCGGGACACCUCUGUGUCCCGAAAGAUGCUUUUGGGACACAGGGAUGCCUCUAAGUCCCUGCGGCCCCGAGUUUACUUUAAAAACGCGGGGACCGCCGGGAGGUAGCGCACGCAGGGACGUCACUGACGUCCCAUGCGUGCGCCCAUAGCAACAAUCGCAGAGGACCGGAGCAGCGAGGAGGACGCGCGCUGUCAACUUGAGGAUCAGAAUGCAUUGGCAUAGUGAGGAGACGUCUGGGCAUCAAGUUCUGCAGAGAGAAGAUUUAGCUGGAACAAAUCCUGGCGCCAAUCAGAGAGCAGCACUACUGAAAUAGAACUCCCAGGAGGUAACAGCGUGUCACACAUGUGAUGUCAUAACCAUUGUCCACCAAAGAGCAGCACUGAGCAGAAAUAACACUGCUCCUGUUCAUUCUCCAUCAGUGAGGGGCCGGUGCUGGACACUGUGUAGGGACGCGGGAAUGCAAAGUCAUACACAUGACUGUGACUGAUGCACUAUCUCCAGGACAUGGAGUAGCAUUUCCGGACCUACAGCAAGACGUUGGAUGAAGGCAUAGCCCCAGAAAUAACACUGGUCCUGUCCAUCAGUGAGGGGCCGGUGCUGGACACUGUGUAGGGACACGGGAAUGCAAAGUCAUGCACAUGACUGUGACUGAUGCACUAUUUCCAGGACAUGGAGUAGCAUUUCGGGACCUACAGCAAGACGUUGGAUGAAGGCACAGGCCUAGGAAUCAUGCACAUACACAGAAA